CCUACGGGUGGCAGCAGUGGGGAAUAUUGCGCAAUGGGCGAAAGCCGGACGCAGCGACGCCGCGGGAGGGAUGAAGGUCUUCGGAUCGUAAACCUCUGUCAGCAGGGAAGAACGGUCACUGUGCUAAUCAGCAGUGAAUUGACGGUACCUGCAAAGGAAGCACCGGCUAACUCCGUGCCAGCAGCCGCGGUAAUACGGAUGGUGCGAGCGUUAAUCCGAAUUACUGGGCGUAAAGCGCUCGUAGGCGGUAUGUCAAGUCAAUGGUGAAAUCCCCGCGCUCAACGUGGGAACUGCCUUUGAAACUGGCAAACUUGAGUGUGUGAGAGGAUAGUGGAAUUCCAGGUGUA
rnacentral:rRNA from 1 species